rnacentral:rRNA from 1 species
CGCGUAGGCGGGGUGUCAAGUUAGGGGUGAAAGGCCUGGGCUCAACCUAGGAACUGCCUCUAAAACUGAUACUCUAGAGUCCGGGAGAGGAUGGCGGAAUUCCCAGUGUAGAGGUGAAAUUCGUAGAUAUUGGGAAGAACACCAGUGGCGAAGGCGGCCAUCUGGUCCGGCACUGACGCUGAGGCGCGAAAGCGUGGGGAGCAAACA